rnacentral:lncRNA from 1 species
UCCCACUGAAGUUGUGUAACACCCUCGAUGCGGCUAUAUCUCCCACGUGUCAAAGCACGACUUAGAGGCAUAACCGCAUUGAAAGCAAUGUCGCAAGUGAGGUAAUCUUCACACAACCCAUGUUAUACAUAAGGGAAAAAGAUACAUAGUUGGCUUACAAUCGCCACUUCACACAAUUACAUGAAUAUAACAUUACAUCAUCCAGAUACACUCAAGGUCCGACUACGGAACCAAAAUAAAAGAAGACUACCCCAAAAGCUACACAGAUCCCCGAUCGACCCCAACUGGGCUCCACUACUGAUCAACUAGAAUGAAACAACACAAAGGACAAGAUCUUCAUCGAGCUCCUCCUUGAGCUUGGUUGCGACACCUGCACGGUUCAAUGGCACCUACAAGCUGGUUUUGGAAGUAUCUGUGAGUCACGGGAACUCAGCAAUCUCACACCCUCGCGAUCAAGACUAUUCUAAGCAAGUUUCAUAUAUAAACUAUUUUAAUCCGAUGCACGGUUAAUAAGUUAUUAUAUGCAUGAAGCUUAGGGGUUAUUCUGUAAAACAGGCAAACACUGGAUAAAUAGUAAAUCGCAGAAUGGGAAAAAACAUGACAUGGGCCGAAUCUUGCUGGCCCGACAGUGCACAGGGGCUGGAGGGGUGCUUCUCACAUUGGGCUUGGCCUGGUUGGUGCUGGGCUGGACGAGGCAGACGGCUGGGCCUUGAGGGGCCUUGCUGGAGGUGAGUCUGGCAGAGGCGAAGCUGGGCCGGUGGGUGGAUCGAGGGAGGACAAGGCUGCGGCCGAUGGAUCUGGGCUUGCGCUGGCGCAGCCCACGCGUGUCGUCGUAGCCUUCCUGGAAGACAUGGACGACGCGCACGCGGUCGUGGUCAGCGGCUGGAGCAUUGACGAGCCACGUACUCGUAGUCUCCCUGACGAACGAGGCAAGGAGCGCCGGCGGAGGACUUGGCGUGGGACUCCGGGACGGCGCGGUGGCAGAUCUGGGCGGUGGAAGUGAAGGACGGCCCGUUCUGGCCGGAACCGAGGCGUGGAACGAGGCAGGAUGGAGCUUCAGGUUCGGGCGGCCAUAGCGUCGAGGCGAAGUAGGCCAUGGCGACGGCGGCAGUCGCUGCGUGGGGCGGCGCCGUUGCUAGAGUUCGAGAGGGGCUCAUCUCCCUGCGCCGAUGAGGAGAGUGGGGAGGCUAUGAGGACAAGGACGAUGGCACGAGGCUUGAUGCGGGACUGCUGCGGGAGGCGUCCGGUGAGGCGCUCGUGCUCAGGCACGAGCAGAGGCGUAUGGGAGGCGGCGAAGGGCAUGGGGCUCAGGCAGGGAUGGAUGGAUCCGCCUGUUUCCGGGCCGGAUCCGGCCAACAGGGCGUCGACGGAGCUCCUGCGAGGGUUGACCAAGGCGGAGGCGACCUGCAGCUCAUGAAAAAACAGAGAGAGAGAGGGAGAUCGUGAGAGAGGAAGAAAUCGGGAGAGGGGGAAGAAGAAAACAGAGGAGAAGCAGAGGACCUGGAGGCCGGCAAGGUUGGACGCUGCAAGGUGGCUGCAGCUCAGGAAUAGGAGCUCGGGCUCCAAGAGAAUGUCCUCUUCCCUGGGACGAUAGGAGGCAGAAGAAAGCGAAGGUUUGUUGGUAGCUGAAAUCGAGGAGGAGGGGAUCGGUGGCUAGUUCGAGUGGAUCGAGGGGAGGAUAUGGUUGGCCCUUUGCUGAAAACAAGGGAGAUGGUCGGCUCGGCUGGUUGGGUGGAGAGAUCGGGGGGGACCCCGAGGGGAACCAGAAGAGUGACGGCAGCGAUGGGACAAACCUCCU